rnacentral:rRNA from 1 species
AGAGUUUGAUCAUGGCUCAGAUUGAACGCUGGCGGCAGGCCUAACACAUGCAAGUCGAACGGUAACAGGAAACAGCUUGCUGUUUCGCUGACGAGUGGCGGACGGGUGAGUAAUGUCUGGGAAACUGCCUGAUGGAGGGGGAUAACUACUGGAAACGGUAGCUAAUACCGCAUAACGUCGCAAGACCAAAGAGGGGGACCCUCGGGCCUCUUGCCAUCGGAUGUGCCCAGAUGGGAUUAGCUUGUUGGUGGGGUAACGGCUCACCAAGGCGACGAUCCCUAGCUGGUCUGAGAGGAUGACCAGCCACACUGGAACUGAGACACGGUCCAGACUCCUACGGGAGGCAGCAGUGGGGAAUAUUGCACAAUGGGCGCAAGCCUGAUGCAGCCAUGCCGCGUGUAUGAAGAAGGCCUUCGGGUUGUAAAGUACUUUCAGCGGGGAGGAAGGGAGUAAAGUUAAUACCUUUGCUCAUUGACGUUACCCGCAGAAGAAGCACCGGCUAACUCCGUGCCAGCAGCCGCGGUAAUACGGAGGGUGCAAGCGUUAAUCGGAAUUACUGGGCGUAAAGCGCACGCAGGCGGUUUGUUAAGUCAGAUGUGAAAUCCCCGGGCUCAACCUGGGAACUGCAUCUGAUACUGGCAAGCUUGAGUCUCGUAGAGGGGGGUAGAAUUCCAGGUGUAGCGGUGAAAUGCGUAGAGAUCUGGAGGAAUACCGGUGGCGAAGGCGGCCCCCUGGACGAAGACUGACGCUCAGGUGCGAAAGCGUGGGGAGCAAACAGGAUUAGAUACCCUGGUAGUCCACGCCGUAAACGAUGUCGACUUGGAGGUUGUGCCCUUGAGGCGUGGCUUCCGGAGCUAACGCGUUAAGUCGACCGCCUGGGGAGUACGGCCGCAAGGUUAAAACUCAAAUGAAUUGACGGGGGCCCGCACAAGCGGUGGAGCAUGUGGUUUAAUUCGAUGCAACGCGAAGAACCUUACCUGGUCUUGACAUCCACGGAAGUUUUCAGAGAUGAGAAUGUGCCUUCGGGAACCGUGAGACAGGUGCUGCAUGGCUGUCGUCAGCUCGUGUUGUGAAAUGUUGGGUUAAGUCCCGCAACGAGCGCAACCCUUAUCCUUUGUUGCCAGCGGUCCGGCCGGGAACUCAAAGGAGACUGCCAGUGAUAAACUGGAGGAAGGUGGGGAUGACGUCAAGUCAUCAUGGCCCUUACGACCAGGGCUACACACGUGCUACAAUGGCGCAUACAAAGAGAAGCGACCUCGCGAGAGCAAGCGGACCUCAUAAAGUGCGUCGUAGUCCGGAUUGGAGUCUGCAACUCGACUCCAUGAAGU